UUGAAAGCUCUGGAGACUGAAAUCCCAUAAUUAUCCACAACCUAGGAUCAAGCUCCAUCAACAGUGCAAGCUUCCUCCAUGCUGUUGAGGCAGUGCACUUAAACCCAGCCUUGGAGGGACCACUUCAAUGGGUAAGAGGAGAAUGCAUUCUCCAUGUGCCAUUCAGUCCUUUGCCAAG
ensembl:misc_RNA